CGGGUGAGUAACGCGUGGAUAACCUGCCUCACACUGGGGGAUAACAGUUAGAAAUGACUGCUAAUACCGCAUAAGCGCACAGUACCGCAUGGUACAGUGUGAAAAACUCCGGUGGUGUGAGAUGGAUCCGCGUCUGAUUAGCCAGUUGGCGGGGUAACGGCCCACCAAAGCGACGAUCAGUAGCCGACCUGAGAGGGUGACCGGCCACAUUGGGACUGAGAUACGGCCCAA
rnacentral:rRNA from 1 species